rnacentral:snRNA from 1 species
GUGCUUGCUUCAGAGCACAUAUACUAAAGUUGGAAUGUUACAGAGAACAUGGCCCCUGUGACUCAAAUUUGUGAAGCAUUCUGCAUUUAA